rnacentral:sRNA from 1 species
GCCAGGUGCAAUGGCUCGUAUCUGUAAUCCCAGGUAUUUGGGAGGCUGAGGCAGGAGAAACUCAAGUUUGAGGAUAGCCUGAGCAAGACCCUGUCUCAA